CCUGGUGGGUUAAUUGGUGUUAUAGAAAUAAACUUGCCUUCCUCAUAAGAAUAAAGUUAGGAGGACUUCGGCUGCAGUGUUUUGGGUCGUUCUGACUACCAGGUGCAGAUGAAGGUUGCAGCGCCAACAGCUCGUCGUCUGAUGGUUUUUAGGAGUUCCUCCUCCCUGCUGCUUCACAUCAGAGCUCCUAACAGGCUGCACAGCCAAUCCUCCACCUGGGAAAUAUCACUCUGAUAA